UCCCCCGUUUUUCCUCGAAAUACGACUCUCGCGCUCCGCCGCCCGAAGCACCCGCGAACCAGCCGCUGGCGGGGUAAGACGAAACAGAAUCCUGGGUAGCUAGGGUUUCCACCGGCGGCGGCGAUGGGCGCCCUCACCGACAGCCGGAAGCGCCUCUCCGCCGACCACCAUCUCCUCCCCUCCUUCCCUCCGCCUUCCCCUUCCCCUCCCCCUCCAUCCAAGAGGCCCAAGCUCGCGCCCCUCCCCUCCCUCCUCCCCACAUCCACCAUCCCGCCAAGUCCGCCUCCCUCCCACUUCGCCGCCGCCACCUCCUCCGCGCCAGGCCCCUCGUCCUCUACCGCCGCCUCCGCCCCGCUCCCGCACCGGCGCCGCCUCCCGCCGCCGCCCCCGCUCCGGCGACCGAUCCACGGGCCGCAGCGCGUCAUCCGUGCCUUCCGCCUAGGCCCCGCCCGGCCCCACGCCGCCUCGCGGCUGCCGCCACCGCCCCGGCCUCUCGGUCUCGAGCAGUACGUCGAGCUCGUCAACAGCGUCUCCCACCCCGCGCCGCCCACUCCCGCCUCUACCACCGAUGUGGCGAGGGAGGCGGAGACGGCGCCAGUCGAGGUGGUCGCCGUUGAGGAGGAUGGGGAUGAGAGGAAGGGUGAGGAAGCGCAACAAGGCGAGGAGGAGGAGGUGGUGAGAGGUAGCGUGUUGGUGAGGAGGGUUCCGGUGUACAGGGAGCUGUACGAGGCGUCCAGCCGGAAGAGAGACGCCAGGCUCAGGACGCUCGAGUUCGAGGUGCGCCUCGCCGAGGAGGGCCGCCUUGGCCUUGAGCGGCUCGCAGAGGUCCUCCCGCGGGUCAUGCCAAAGAAGGAGGAGGUUCCUGAACCUUUUACUCCUCUUACGGAUGGGGAUGAAGACAGCGUUCGUCAUGCCCUUCAUGGUCGGAACAGAUGUGAGAGAUUAGCAGUACAUGAAGCUUCAAAUAUUGUGAUAACAAGACAGAUCUUACAGUGCUUGAAUGACAAACAGUGGCUAAAUGAUGAGGUUAUAAAUUUGUAUCUUGAUCUGCUAAAAGAGAGGGAACUAAGAGAACCUAAUAAGUUCUUAAAAUGCCACUUCUUCAACACCUUUUUCUACAAGAGGCUGAUUACCGGUGGAUACAAUUACAAAGCCGUUAAAAAAUGGACAACAAAAAAGAAGUUAGGAUACAGUCUAAUUGAGUGUGACAAGAUUUUUGUUCCCAUACACAAGGAAGUCCACUGGUGUUUAGCGGUCAUAAACAUAAGGGACAAGAAGUUUCAAUAUCUGGAUUCACUUGGCAGCAUGGACAUGAAGGUCCUGAGAGUCUUAGCCAGGUAUAUUGUAGAUGAGGUGAAAGACAAAAGUGGCCAACAGAUGGAUGCACUUUCGUGGAAACAGGAAGGAGUCAAAAACCUUCCUUUGCAGGAGAACGCAUGGGAUUGUGGCAUGUUCAUGCUCAAAUACGUAGACUUCUACAGCAGAGAUAUGGAUCUUACUUUUGGCCAGAAACAUAUGCGUUACUUCCGAAGGAGAACUGCUAAGGAAAUAUUGAAUUUGAGGGCUGAAUAAGCCACGAAGAACAUCAGAGGUCAUUAAGGCCAUUUUCGAAUGUUUAUCAGUGCUUCGGGUAUGUACUUUAGAAAUGGCAGAGGUGUCCUAAAAGUAUAGUGCCGAGUGCAAGGAUAUUGGAAGCUCUUCAAUCGCUCAAAUUGACCAUGCAAUGAUCAAACUAUAGGGUGAAGGGCUCCUGGAUAUAGCUUCUGAAAUCAGAAUAUGGCGGCUUCCGCAUAAGCUUUUGCUGCAGCGAGCCAUCAUCGUGGGACACAAAAGGGCAGUACGUGGUUUUAUGGCUGGCUUUAUAUUGCAGUGAGCCAUUGAGAGACAGAAAGCGAAGGAAAAGUAUCGCAACAAGCAGUUUUGCUUUAAGGGCUUGGACCUCGACAGCUACAGAGAUUAAACAGAUAAGUUACUUGUGAUGUUACCUCUAGCAGCCACGGUACUUGAUGAAUACAAAACACUUGUGAAAAAUAAAGAAAAAAUUUGCUAUUGGACACCCAAAACGUUGCCAAGCUGCUGGUGGGCACCGUAAAAUCUGACCUUUGCUGAAAGAUACUUCGGCUCCAAGCCAGUUUGGUGCUAGACACUGCCUCGAUUAAAAUAAUGUUUUCAAGCCGAUAUAUGAAACUAUGGAGGUUCGGAGCAAAGUUUGUUGAUGAAUUCUCUUAUUAUGACAAAACAUCUGAGUAUAAAUUGUAAAUGAUUUGUUGUUCAACUAGCACAAUACUACCGGUACAAGCAUAGUUCAGAACUAUUACGGUCCGUCCGAUUCAGAGUGCAAGUCUUGCAUGUGGGAACCUCAGUCUGGAGACUAUGGCAUGUCAACCGCUGCGUAGAAGAUGCAGGCUGCAGUUGAUGAAUUUUAGUCUUCCAUGAACGAGAUGAAGACUUCCUUGUAUGCGAUGCCAUGAGGGGGAUGAACUCUGAGCUGAAAGGGGAUAUGAAUAUGGCAGCUCAGCGAGUUGGGAUGGCUUCCAAUGCUGCAAUAGUCAAUAGGAACUCAAGAGUAGUUUGGAGGCUGUUUGUAGUUUGUUUGGCAAACUUAGUUCUUGUUUUGCUGAUCCUGGCCAUGGUGGUCACGAAGUAGGACAGCAACAGCAUGUUGUCCCUGAUCAGGAAAUGUGUAUUUUGUUCUGGGUGAUGGCAUAUAUUGCUAGUACUAAUGUAUUUUUUAUUUGUAAUUCUAGUAAUCGAAUCCUUGUAAGUUUCAAAUGUUA